rnacentral:rRNA from 1 species
AGUGAACGCUGGCGGUAGGCCUAACACAUGCAAGUCGAACGGCAGCACAGUAAGAGCUUGCUCUUACGGGUGGCGAGUGGCGGACGGGUGAGGAAUACAUCGGAAUCUACUUUUUCGUGGGGGAUAACGUAGGGAAACUUACGCUAAUACCGCAUACGACCUACGGGUGAAAGCAGGGGAUCUUCGGACCUUGCGCGAUUGAAUGAGCCGAGGUCGGAUUAGCUAGUUGGCGGGGUAAAGGCCCACCAAGGCGACGAUCCGUAGCUGGUCUGAGAGGAUGAUCAGCCGCACUGGAACUGAGCCACGGUCCAGACUCCUACGGGAGGCAGCAGUGGGGAAUAUUGGACAAUGGGCGCAAGCCUGAUCCAGCCAUACCGCGUGGGUGAAGAAGGCCUUCGGGUUGUAAAGCCCUUUUGUUGGGAAAGAAAAGCAGCAGGUUAAUACCCCGCUGUUCUGACGGUACCCAAAGAAUAAGCACCGGCUAACUUCGUG